rnacentral:rRNA from 1 species
CCUACGGGGGGCAGCAGUGGGGAAUAUUGCGAAAUGGGCGAAAGCCUGACGCAGCGACGCCGCGUGAGGGAUGAAGGUCUUCGGAUCGUAGAGUUCAGUUGAAGGGGAAAAAGAGCGGAGAGAGGAAAUGGUCUCCGAUUGAUAUUACCCUUCGAGGAAGUCACGGCUAACUACGUGCCAGCAGCCGCGGUAAUACGUAGGUGGCGAGCGUUAUCCGGAAUGAUUGGGCGUAAAGGGUGCGUAGGCGGCCUGCUAAGUCUGGAGUGAAAGGUACCGGCUCAACCGGUACAGGCUCUGGAAACUGG